AACCCACAGUGAGGGCACCUUCUCAAUAAGUCUUUAUACCUCUCCCAUGCAUCAUAAAGGGUUUCUAAAUCCAUUUGCACGAAGGAAAAGAUGUCAUUCCUCAGCUU
rfam:Gossypium arboreum cultivar AKA8401 contig_8765_7, whole genome shotgun sequence.